GCCUAAUACAUGCAAGUCGAGCGGACAGAAGGGAGCUUGCUCCCGGAUGUUAGCGGCGGACGGGUGAGUAACACGUGGGUAACCUGCCUGUAAGACUGGGAUAACUCCGGGAAACCGGAGCUAAUACCGGAUAGUUCCUUGAACCGCAUGGUUCAAGGAUGAAAGACGGUUUCGGCUGUCACUUACAGAUGGACCCGCGGCGCAUUAGCUAGUUGGUGAGGUAACGGCUCACCAAGGCGACGAUGCGUAGCCGACCUGAGAGGGUGAUCGGCCACACUGGGACUGAGACACGGCCCAGACUCCUACGGGAGGCAGCAGUAGGGAAUCUUCCGCAAUGGACGAAAGUCUGACGGAGCAACGCCGCGUGAGUGAUGAAGGUUUUCGGAUCGUAAAGCUCUGUUGUUAGGGAAGAACAAGUGCAAGAGUAACUGCUUGCACCUUGACGGUACCUAACCAGAAAGCCACGGCUAACUACGUGCCAGCAGCCGCGGUAAUACGUAGGUGGCAAGCGUUGUCCGGAAUUAUUGGGCGUAAAGGGCUCGCAGGCGGUUUCUUAAGUCUGAUGUGAAAGCCCCCGGCUCAACCGGGGAGGGUCAUUGGAAACUGGGAAACUUGAGUGCAGAAGAGGAGAGUGGAAUUCCACGUGUAGCGGUGAAAUGCGUAGAGAUGUGGAGGAACACCAGUGGCGAAGGCGACUCUCUGGUCUGUAACUGACGCUGAGGAGCGAAAGCGUGGGGAGCGAACAGGAUUAGAUACCCUGGUAGUCCACGCCGUAAACGAUGAGUGCUAAGUGUUAGGGGGUUUCCGCCCCUUAGUGCUGCAGCUAACGCAUUAAGCACUCCGCCUGGGGAGUACGGUCGCAAGACUGAAACUCAAAGGAAUUGACGGGGGCC
rnacentral:rRNA from 1 species